rnacentral:rRNA from 1 species
CCUACCGAUUGAAUAUAUAGGUGAAAUUUUAGGAUGAAUGAAUAGUAAUAUUUGAUCAGAAUGGAUUUAAAUCUCUCUAUUUAGAGGAAGGAGAAGUCGUAACAAGGUU